UACGUAGGGGGCUAGCGUUGUCCGGAUUUAUUGGGCGUAAAGAGCGUGUAGGCGGCCAGGUAGGUCCGCUGUGAAAGUCCGAGGCUCAACCUCGGAAUGUCGGCGGAAACCCUCUGGCUAGAGUCCGGAAGAGGAGAGUGGAAUUCCCGGUGUAGCGGUGAAAUGCGCAGAUAUCGGGAGGAACACCGGUGGCGAAGGCGGUUCUCUGGGCCUUACCUGACGCUGAGGAGCGAAAGCAUGGGGAGCAAACAGG
rnacentral:rRNA from 1 species